AGGAUUAACGCUGGCGGCGUGCCUAACACAUGCAAGUCGAACGAGGUAGCAAUACCUAGUGGCAGACGGGUGAGUAACGCGUGGUCAACCUACCGUUGAGUGGGGGAUAACUAGCCGAAAGGUUAGCUAAUACCGCAUACGAGUCUUGGGGGCAUCCCUGGGACUUAAAAAGGAGCAAUCCGCUCGAUGACGGGACCGCGUCCCAUUAGCUAGAUGGUGGGGUAACGGCCUACCAUGGCACCGAUGGGUAGCUGGUUUGAGAGAGCGACCAGCCACACUGGGACUGAGAAACGGCCCAGACUCCUACGGGAGGCAGCAGUGAGGAAUUUUCCGCAAUGGGCGAAAGCCUGACGGAGCGACGCCGCGUGUGGGAAGAAGGCCUUCGGGUCGUAAACCACUGUCGAAGGGACGAUAAUGACGGUACCCUUGGAGGGAACGCCCCGGCUAACUACGCGCCAGCAGCCGC
rnacentral:rRNA from 1 species